GAUGAACGCUGGCGGCGUGCCUAAUACAUGCAAGUCGAGCGAACAGACGAGGAGCUUGCUCCUCUGACGUUAGCGGCGGACGGGUGAGUAACACGUGGAUAACCUACCUAUACGACUGGGAUAACUUCGGGAAACCGGAGCUAAUACCGGAUAAUAUAUUGAACCGCAUGGUUCAAUAGUGAAAGACGGUUUUGCUGUCACUUAUAGAUGGAUCCGCGCCGCAUUAGCUAGUUGGUAAGGUAACGGCUUACCAAGGCAACGAUGCGUAGCCGACCUGAGAGGGUGAUCGGCCACACUGGAACUGAGACACGGUCCAGACUCCUACGGGAGGCAGCAGUAGGGAAUCUUCCGCAAUGGGCGAAAGCUUGACGGAGCAACGCCGCGUGAGUGAUGAAGGUCUUCGGAUCGUAAAACUCUGUUAUUAGGGAAGAACAAAUGUGUAAGUAACUAUGCACGUCUUGACGGUACCUAAUCAGAAAGCAACGGCUAACUACGUG
rnacentral:rRNA from 1 species